rnacentral:tRNA from 2 species
GUUGGUAGAGCAUAACCUUGCCAAGGUUAGGGUCGCGAGUUCGAGUCUCGUUUUCCGCUCU